rnacentral:rRNA from 1 species
UACGUAGGUGGCAAGCGUUGUCCGGAAUUACUGGGUGUAAAGCGCGUGUAGGCGGGAGGCCAAGUCUGCUGUGAAAUCGCUCGGCUCAACUGGGCGGGGUCGGUGGAAACUGGUCACCUGGAGGACGGUAGAGGCGAGUGGAAUUCCCGGUGUAGCGGUGAAAUGCGUAGAGAUCAGCAGGAAUACCCGUGGCGAAGGCGGCCCCCUGGGCCGAACCUGACGCUGAGGCGCGAAGGCUAGGGGAGCGAACGGGGAU